GGCGUCUUUUUCCCCGUCCACAAACCCGAGUGUCAGCGAUGCCUCAGCAUUUCUGAGUGACGACACCCUCGCAAGGACUAUUCCAGCACGACCACCUCUCAUCGUCCUCACGUCGACUGGGGCUCCCCGUGCCUCCUGCAGGACGGCGAUGCUCCGGAACACGCCCCAACGCUGAGGAUCUCCCACAGAAGAAGGACAACCCGAGUUCCGUGGUUG
rnacentral:lncRNA from 1 species